AAUUCCAGAGACCAUUUGGAACCUUGUUUUCUUCAUCAGUGAAAAGGAAAUAAUACCCUUGUGUGGCUCCCCCAGAGGGCCGUCAUGAAAACCAGAUGAGGUAUUGGAUACGGAGGUGCCUCACAAGAUACAUGGGAGCUCCUCAUUGGUGAGGUAUAUAUUCUGAAGAGUCUGGUCCUCCUUUAAUGGCAUGAAGACAAUGGCUGAUGUGGGGAGGGACCCUUGCAAAGGAGCAGAGUGUAUUUUACUAGAAUGAGAGUUCCCAUCAAUCACCUAAACCAGUAGGAGAUCACAGUCCCAGGAACAGGAUGACAGAGAAUGGGAUUUUCCCCCAAGUAGCUCUACAGACCCAUAAGCCAUCAGCCAGCGUGAUGUGGAAAACAGGGACAGCCGUGGGUGAAAGACAAGAAGGAAGGACAGUGUCAGCAAAGGUCAGGGUGUCGCACAUCAGUCACCGUGACAGCUGCCGAGGCUCAGAGGGCUACAGAGCAUGAUGAGGACGGCCACUGGAUUGGAUUCGGACACAUUCCCGAGGCUUUGCAUCACAUGCCCAGGAUGGUGGUCUUUGCUCAUCUAAGCUCAUCCUCCUACUCAGCCUCCCCGAACGUGUGCUUUCCAGGCUGCCGUAUCUGCUUUCCUCCCAGAAAGGAUUACUCAUCUGCACCCCCGCAGCCCUGCCAUCAACACCAGGAUUGCUUCUGCCUCCCCUCUGGACCACGGGUUAUGAAACACAGAAGCUCCACACGCAGAUUCCCUGGAAAGUGGACAGGGCUUGUAUAGCAUGUGCCUCACAUCCCAGUGUAUCUAACACUUCAUAUCUCAUUUUGAGAGAGAACUAUGCAGCUUGCUCUUUAGGAUAAUUAAUCCUGGAAAGGUGUUAAACAAGCAUUGGAUAUAUGAAGACAAAGAUUAUAAACUCCACAACGACAAAAACCAUGAAAGUUUUGCUCUUCACUGAUUCCUAGCCUGCAAUAUGGUUGGAAGAUGGGAACACUCAUCGCCAUGAAGUUGCCUUGAUGAUAGAAGGUCACAGGUACAAGUCAUGCCGAUAGAGUCUGGAUUCCUAAUGAUGGUGGAUAUACCAUACCAGCUCUCAAUGUAAUUUCAAGCUCAAUCUGAACUUCUUUUACAGAGAGAGAGAGAGAGAGAAUGAAAUAAAUGUCUACCUUUUU